rnacentral:rRNA from 1 species
UACAGAGGUCUCAAGCGUUGUUCGGAUUCAUUGGGCGUAAAGGGUGCGUAGGCGGCGCGGUAAGUCGGGUGUGAAAUCUCGGAGCUUAACUCCGAAACUGCAUUCGAUACUGCCGUGCUUGAGGACUGGAGAGGAGACUGGAAUUUACGGUGUAGCGGUGAAAUGCGUAGAUAUCGUAAGGAAGACCAGUGGCGAAGGCGGGUCUCUGGACAGUCACUGACGCUGAGGCACGAAAGUGAGGGGAGCAAACGGG